AUUGAACGCUGGCGGCAGGCCUAACACAUGCAAGUCGAACGGUAACAGGGAUCAGCUUGCUGAUUCGCUGACGAGUGGCGGACGGGUGAGUAAUGUCUGGGAAACUGCCUGAUGGAGGGGGAUAACUACUGGAAACGGUAGCUAAUACCGCAUAACGUCGCAAGACCAAAGAGGGGGACCUUCGGGCCUCUUGCCAUCGGAUGUGCCCAGAUGGGAUUAGCUAGUAGGUGGGGUAACGGCUCACCUAGGCGACGAUCCCUAGCUGGUCUGAGAGGAUGACCAGCCACACUGGAACUGAGACACGGUACAGACUCCUACGGGAGGCAGCAGUGGGGAAUAUUGCACAAUGGGCGCAAGCCUGAUGCAGCCAUGCCGCGUGUAUGGAGAAGGCCUUCGGGUUGUAAAGUACUUUCAGCGGGGAGGAAGGGAGUAAAGUUAAUACCUUUGCUCAUUGACGUUACCCGCAGAAGAAGCACCGGCUAACUCCGU
rnacentral:rRNA from 1 species